AAAAUACAUAAAUAACAACAGACUACUAGCAGUUAACUGACAUGCCAGCUCCAGACUUCAAUUAAACUGACUGAAAGAUUAUGAUUUCAUCAUAUGAACAUCAGGCACAAUCCUUCCCGUUAGGGGUUUAGUAUCAUACCAUCAUAACAUAUAUGAGAAGAACAUAACCCGUGUCAUGCCAACAACUGUUUUUAAAAAAAAAAAAAAAAAUGUGUUUAGUUCCGAUGCAAAGACCUUAUCAGUGACUCAAUAUUAACGCCAAAAUAUGCAAUCUUUAAUGACUUGACAACAG
rnacentral:lncRNA from 1 species